AAUCUCUUUUAUGGAGAGUUUGAUCCUGGCUCAGGACGAACGCUGGCGGCGUGCCUAAUACAUGCAAGUCGAGCGCGGGAAGCGAGCUGAAGCCCUUCGGGGCGGACGCU
rnacentral:rRNA from 1 species